rnacentral:misc_RNA from 1 species
GAUGAAGAACGUAGCGAAAUGCGAUAAGUAAUGUGAAUUGCAGAAUUCAGUGAAUCAUCGAAUCUUUGAACGCAUCUUGCGCUCCUUGGUAUUCUGAGGAGCAUGCCUGUUUGAGUGUCAUUAAAUUCUCAACUACACUGACUUUGAAUUGGUGUGGCUUGGAUUUGGGGGGAAAAUUGUUGUGGGCUUUUUGUAUAGUCUGCUCCCCUGAAAUUGAUUAGCGGUACCUUUGUGGAACUGUCUACAGGUGUGAUAAUUAUCUACAUCUUAGACAUCUGCUGGAAUGCUGCUUUCUAAACCUUACUUGUAUUGACAAUCUUGACCUCAAAUCAGGUAGGACUACCCGCUGAACUUAAGCAUAUCAAUAAGCGGAGUA